rnacentral:rRNA from 1 species
AUACGGAGGGUGCGAGCGUUAAUCGGAAUUACUGGGCGUAAAGCGUACGUAGGCGGUUGGUUAAGUUAGAUGUGAAAGCCCCGGGCUCAACCUGGGAACUGCAUUUAAAACUGGCGAACUAGAGUUGAGUAGAGGGGAGUGGAAUUUCAGGUGUAGCGGUGAAAUGCGUAGAGAUCUGAAGGAACACCAGUGGCGAAGGCGACUCCCUGGACUCGAACUGACGCUGAGGUACGAAAGCGUGGGUAGCAAACGGGAUUAGAUACCCUAGUAGUCC